rnacentral:rRNA from 1 species
UACGAAGGGGGCUAGCGUUGCUCGGAAUCACUGGGCGUAAAGCGCACGUAGGCGGGUUCUUAAGUCAGGGGUGAAAUCCUGGAGCUCAACUCCAGAACUGCCUUUGAUACUGGGAAUCUCGAGUCCGGGAGAGGUGAGUGGAACUGCGAGUGUAGAGGUGAAAUUCGUAGAUAUCGGGAGGAACACCGGUGGCGAAGGCGGCGACCUGGGUAGAUACUGACGCUGAGGUGCGAAAGCGUGGGGAGCAAACAGG